rnacentral:tRNA from 3 species
GCCCCGGUAGCUCAGUGGAUAGAGCGACCCCCUCCUAAGGGGUAGGCCACACGUUCGAUUCGUGUUCGGGGCACCA